rnacentral:sRNA from 1 species
UACUGAAACAUUUAGAAGACAGAGAUUUAUUCUGAAAUAUAUAAAAAUUUAAUGAAGGAAAUACAGAAAUUAUUUAUUUAUAAGCAAAAAUACAGAAUACUUUUCUAAAGAAAAAAAUAAUGAGAAAUUCCACAGUAGUAACAGACUUUAUUCUUCUUAGAUUGACAAGUGACCCACAGUGGCAGAUCCCCAUCUGCAGACUCCCAUGUAUUUCUUCCUUCAGAACUUCUCAUUCCUGGAAAUUUCAUUCAUGUCUGUCUGCAUUCCCAGAUUCCUUGUCACCAUUGUGACAGGAGACAGAACCAUUUCUUAUAAUGGGUGUGUGGCUCAGCUAUUUUUUUUCAUCUUCUUGGGGGUGACAGAAUUUUACCUUCUGGCUGCCAUGUCCUGUGACCGCUGCGUGGCCAUCUGCAAACCUCUUCAUUACACAAUCAUCAUGAGCACCAGAGUGUGUACCCUUCUUGUCUUUAGCUCCUGGCUUGCAGGGUUUCUGAUCAUCUUUCCACCAGUAAUGCUUCUGCUGCAGUUGGAUUUCUGUGCCUCCAAUGUAAUUGAUCAUUUUAUCUGUGACUCUUCUCCAAUGCUGCAGCUCUCUUGCACAAACACUCACUUUCUAGAACUCAUGGCAUUUUUUUUAGCUGUGGUAACAUUGAUGGUCACCUUGACAUUAGUUGUUCUCUCCUACACAAACAUCAUCUGGACGAUUCUGAAAAUUUCUUCUAUGAGUCAAAGGAAAAAAGCCUUUUCCACUUGCUCCUCCCAUAUGAUAGUUGUCUCCAUCUCUUACGGUAGCUGCAUCUUCAUGUACAUUAAGACUUCUGCCAGAGAAAGGGUGACUUUAAGCAAAGGAGUAGCUGUGCUCAAUACCUCAGUGGCUCCUCUCUUGAAUCCCUUCAUAUACACACUGAGAAAUCAGCAAGUGAAGCAAGCCUUCAAGAGCAUGGUCCAGAAGAUGAUCUUUUCUUUAAAUAAAUGAAUGUGAUUAUGUAAAAAAUGUACCCCCAAAGGCAAAGCCGAAUGAAAAACUCUCUACCCUUCUCUACAUAAACUCUUUCUAAACACCUUAUUUCACACUUUUAGUUAGACAUAGUUACAUAUCAUCAACACUUCUUAAUGAAAUUAGCCUAAAAACCAAGAUUUAACUCUUCUAAACUAUAUAGAAAGUGUUCAAUCUCUCACCUAUGUAACCAAAUUUUAGGUAAAUUAAUAAUCACUAUUGUUUAUUAUAUAAAGGCAAAAUAGAUUCUUAAUUCAUGCAUAAAAUAGAGGUAGCUAUAAAUUAAAAACUUACUAAAAC